GACGAACGCUGGCGGCGUGCUUAACACAUGCAAGUCGAACGGAAAGGCCCUGCUUUUGUGGGGUGCUCGAGUGGCGAACGGGUGAGUAACACGUGAGUAACCUGCCCUUGACUUUGGGAUAACUUCAGGAAACUGGGGCUAAUACCGGAUAGGAGCUCCUGCUGCAUGGUGGGGGUUGGAAAGUUUCGGCGGUUGGGGAUGGACUCGCGGCUUAUCAGCUUGUUGGUGGGGUAGUGGCUUACCAAGGCUUUGACGGGUAGCCGGCCUGAGAGGGUGACCGGCCACAUUGGGACUGAGAUACGGCCCAGACUCCUACGGGAGGCAGCAGUGGGGAAUAUUGCACAAUGGGCGGAAGCCUGAUGCAGCAACGCCGCGUGCGGGAUGACGGCCUUCGGGUUGUAAACCGCUUUCGCCUGUGACGAAGCGUGAGUGACGGUAGUGAGUAAAGAAGCACCGGCUAACUACGUG
rnacentral:rRNA from 1 species